UACGUAGGUGGCAAGCGUUGUUCGGAAUUAUUGGGCGUAAAGGGCGCGUAGGCGGCUUGUUAAGUCGGCUGUGAAAGCGCGGGGCUCAACCCCGCGUCGGCCAUGAAUACUGCCGCGGCUGGAGCACUGUAGAGGCAGGCGGAAUUCCGGGUGUAGCGGUGGAAUGCGUAGAGAUCCGGAAGAACACCGGUGGCGAAGGCGGCCUGCUGGGCAGUUGCUGACACUGAGGCGCGACAGCGUGGGGAGCAAACAGG
rnacentral:rRNA from 1 species